rnacentral:lncRNA from 1 species
GCUGCAGAGGAUGCAGAAGGGACUUUGGGGUUGCGAUGCCCUUUCCUGCACCGCUCUGAAUUCCUCAUUCCCACCCCCCAAACCCACCCUGCUGCCACCAAACAGUAAAUUUUUAAUACCUAGAAGAGAGGGCAAAAGGGAGGCACUCAGCAAGAUUUAAACAGUCAGGACCUUUGCACAGCAUGCUCUGGCUCUUUCCUGCAGCUCAGAGUGACUUCCAGUGUUAAAUUCCCCACACCUUUUUCUGCACUGAGCUGGCUCAGCCACUGGCUCUUCCCCUCCUUUCCCUGACAGGCUUUUGCACAACCAGCAGCUAACAUUUUUUAACAAUCAGCACAAUUUGGCUUCAACUUCUUCCUUUAAAAUACAAAACAUCCUACAAAUAUCACAGAAAGCAGCCUGCUGGCACUGAGAUGGAUCAUUUAGCCCAUUCCUAUUCCCCAGGGCCGGAUUUUCUUUAGUUACAGAUUAUUUUAAUUUCUUUUUGUUUUUAAUAAACUUUCUUUUUUUUCCCCCUAGGGAUGGAGACACUGCAAUGUGCCAAAGGCCAGUACAUCAUUGCUCUGGCUGGCAGGAACCUUUCCUACUGCCUUCCUUCAACCUCUCUUGUUACAACUUCAGCCUGUAUUAUAUUGAGGAAGCCGCUGGGACCAGGGCACACCCCGAGCACCGUGAUCCCACAAAUCCCUCAGGAGCAGCUGCUCCAGACAAGCAAUUCCUGGGAGAGCAGCACACUGGAGUCUGGAUACAGCUGUGGUCUCCUUCAGAGGGGGAAGUUCAUCUUCUAAAACAGGGCCUGCUCCUUCUCUGGCCUCAAAUAGAUUCCUUUUUAGCAAUCAAGGAGACAGGCUUUUUCUUACUAAAAAAAAAUUAAUGAACUUGCAAAAGCUUAUCUACUCUGUGCCAGGUCUUGUCCUAAUUUAUGGAUUCACCCCAGUAACAAGGCUCUCUGUGAAGAUCUGAAGGAAGGAGAGAUGGUUUUAUCCUGGAAGAUUAAAAGGUCUGCUCUUAAUUCCACUGAAAUGGAGAGUAGGACGACAUGGACACUCACUGUCCAUCUGUCCAAGAGCAGCACAACAAAGUGAGGAAACCUUUUGAAUUGAAAUAAGGCAAUUCUGGCUUAUAAAAUCAGUGGAUAUAAGCUGGAUAUGCACAGGCUAGAAAUAAAAUUCCUAAUGGAUGGAAAGUCUGGAAUAAU